GCGUUGGUGGUGCAUCGGUUGGCAUAUGCUCCCGGAAAGAGUGAGAUCUGGGUUCGAAUCUCGGCGGACGCA